rnacentral:lncRNA from 1 species
AGCUAGAAUUGUGUUGAUAUUUUCUUCUCCUUUAGCACUGAAAAAAACGAGCGUUGAUAACAACUUUUGAUAAAAUGACAAGAAAAAAAAUUCGUUGCACUGUGUAAUGAGCUUUGAGAUCAAAAUAAUAUGGUUAGGUAGGACUUUAUAUACGUGAUUUAUUCAUGGAGAACCCGUGCCAUAAGAAUACUUUAAAAUCGUUUCACUCCGUCUGUGGUAAAAGAAUGGAAGCGAUAGUGAAUAAUAAAAGGAACGGCUUGAGUGUGGGGUAAAAGAUGAUUGAUGCUAGGAGAGAAAAAAAUCCCGAGUGUUUCGCCGCGAGCUUGCUGGCUUUUGAAACGGGGAAAAAUUGAAGUAAACAAAACCUGAAAAAUAAACACGUGGAUACUUCAUCCUCGGUCGCCGUGGCAAUCUAGAAUACGUGAAUACGUGACGCUGAUAGCGGUAUCAAGAUUUCAAAAGCCGACGCCACGUAGCCCAUAGCAAGGUACUUGAAAUUCCCUUUCAGCACAUGCGAUGAUGCAUUUUUAAAGGAAAUGAGGCUGUGAAUCUGGUCGAAAACUGGUGUGUUUUCGACCGACUUUCGCGCUUCUGGCUUCUCCCAAUUUUGGCCACUACGAAAGACAGUAGAUAAGUGUAGUUUGAAGCUUUUUAAGCAUUUCUAGGUCAAACGAGAAUCCAUAAACGCAGGAAACUCAUGCUCGUGACUUAGCAAGUAAUAAUUCUUUGAGCAAUAAAAUGAAACUAAGUGAAUUUUCAGGCAAAUCCCAUCAUAAGUGCGUGAAAACUUUGACAAAACAUAACUAUGAAUGACAUGAAACCUGAUUGUUACCUAAUUCAAAAAUUUAAAUCAAACUGGAAAAUACGGAUAACUUUGAGAAUACUUUAAUCAUGCAAAUGUAGUAAAAUGCAACGACAGAGUUGACAAGAAAUCAACAUAUUCACAAGAUACGCGUUGAAAAUAAGAUUUGGACUACAGUUGGCAAUAAAGAACUACUAUUUCUUGUUCAUCUAUAAAAGUGCCUACCUCCAUGGGAAAGGUUUGCAUAUCUGUUGUUUUUAAAAUGAGCC